rnacentral:sRNA from 1 species
UAAUUUAAGCUAACUAAUAUAUUUGCUAAUCUUAUACCUAUCAAAACCGACUAUCGUUUCUUAUCUCUAUAGUAUUUUUGCAAGACUUUUUUGAUGGAUUUGGGUAAAAGUGCAUUUGAGUCAUAUGGUACAUUCCCUUAUUAAAAAAAUAUGGUGUACUCCUAUUUAUUAGCUAAAAUGUUUAGAUUAUAAUUCAGAGUCAUAUCAUUAAUAAAAUUAAUAUUAAUAAAAUAAAUGGCUUUUUGGCAAGACAUAUUUGGAGUGACGGGUUUUUGAAUCAACAUUAACAAAAAAGUAAAAUAUAAUUAAUCCACCGUUUCAAUACGGGUUAAAUCUUUAAUUUAUUAUUUUUUAAGACCCCUAAUAUUAAACAUAUCAAAUCAUCCUAAUUUAGAAAAGAUUAUAUAAAACCGAAAAUAUUAUGUGGUAUGUAUAAUGUUAGUAUA